AGAGUUGGCUGCCUCCUAUCGCAGGGAAAAGAGGAAAACCUAUCCUAAAAAGAACUUAAAGCCAUAUGUGAAGGCUCCAUCCAGGGACAUCAAUGGUGCUAUAGAUGGUCCAUCAGUUCCCAGAAGAGAAAGAAAAGGGAAGAAAACCUCAACGACAGAGAAACUAAAGGACUUUCCUGAGGAAUUGCUACCAAGUAAUCAUGAAGUAGAAAUCGAUGCACCUUUCGAUUUUCAAGUGUUCCAGCAAGUGAGAGCUGAACUUAUGGAGCUUCUGAA